AGGGAAAGCAGCAUUUUUCUUCUGCAUAGUAAAGUUUCAAAGAUGUAUUAAGUCAAUGCUCAGGUGUAAACUUUUGAAACAACAACCAUAACAUUUUGUUCAGUUACUAAUAACCUCUGUUCCCAAGGUGUUCAUAACUCUGAGGUUCUACUGUAUC